rnacentral:rRNA from 1 species
CCUACGGGAGGCUGCAGUGAGGAAUAUUGGUCAAUGGGCGCAAGCCUGAACCAGCCACGUAGCGUGAAGGAUGACUGCCCUACGGGUUGUAAACUUCUUUUAUAAAGGAAUAAAGUGAGGCACGUGUGCCUUUUUGCAUUUACUUUAUCAAUAAGGAUCGGCGAACUCAGUGCCAGCAGCCGCGGUAAUACGGAGGAUCCGAGCGUUAUCCGGAUUUAUUGGGUUUAAAGGGAGCGUAGAUGGGUUGUUAAGUCAGUUGUGAAAGUUUGCGGCUCAACCGUAAAAUUGCAAUUGAUACUGGCAGUCUUGAGUACAGUUGAGGUAGGCGGAAUUCGUGGUGUAGCGGUGAAAUGCGUAGAUAUCACGAAGAACUCCGAUUGCGAAGGCAGCUUACUAAACUGCCACUGACAUUGAUGCUCGAAAGUGUGGGUAUCAAACAGGAUUAGAUACCCGGGUAGUC